CAUUAAAGAGUUCUAUAACUCCCAAACCCAUGUGAACAUACCUAACGUUGCCUCGGCAGGUCGCACCUACCUUGUAGCACCCUACCCUGUAGGGCCUACCCGGGAGAUGCGGGUAAGCCUGCCGGCGGCCCACCAAACUCUGUUUAAUCUUGAAUUCUGAACAUAUAACUAAAUAAGUUAAAACUUUCAACAACGGAUCUCUUGGUUCUGGCAUCGAUGAAGAACGCAGCGAAAUGCGAUAAGUAAUGUGAAUUGCAGAAUUCAGUGAAUCAUCGAAUCUUUGAACGCAUAUUGCGCCCAUUAGUAUUCUAGUGGGCAGGACCGUUCGAGCGUCAUUUCGACCCUUAAGCCUUAGUUGCUUAGUGUUGGGAGCCUACGGCAACGUAGCUCCUCAAAGUUAGUGGCGGAGUUGGUUCACACUCUAGACGUAGUAAUUUUUUAUCUCGCCUAUUAGUUGGACUGAUCCCCUGCCGUAAAACCCCCAACUUAUCAAGGUUGACCUCGAAUCGGUUCAGACAAACUCGCUAAAUUGAAGCAUCUUAGUCAGCGAAGGAAAAGAAACCAACAGGGAUUGCCCUAGUAACGGCGAGUGAAGCGGCAACAGCUCAAAUUUGAAAUCUGGCCCUCGGGUCCGAGUUGUAAUUUGUAGAGGAUGCUUUUGGCGCGGUGCCUUCCGAGUUCCCUGGAACGGGACGCCUUAGAGGGUGAGAGCCCCGUACGGUUGGACACCAAGCCUCUGUAAAGCUCCUUCGACGAGUCGAGUAGCUUGGGAAUGCUGCUCUAAAUGGGAGGUAAAUUUCUUCUAAAGCUAAAUAUUGG
rnacentral:rRNA from 1 species